UAUUUAAAUAGUUUAAUAAAAAUAUUGAUUUGUGGUGUCAAUGAUAAGAGUAUAAUUCUUUUUAAAUC
rnacentral:tRNA from 1 species